ACAGUGGUGCUUCAGUGGUGGAAUUCUUGCCUUCUAUGCAGGAGACCCGGAUUUGAUUCCUGGUCAUUGCA
rnacentral:tRNA from 1 species